GGGGGCGACUUGGCUUCGACGGGGUCGGAGAAGCCCAAAUUGCGUGCCGAGGUCCCGACACCUCGUAAAUCCUCGGGAAACAAUUAAGCGACGAAACUAACACGUACGCUCUGGCUGCCUAAAUUUAGCGCAGCCCAUUGGGGUCUGUUGAGCCUGCGCGGCAGGCCCCAAUGCCAUCUCUUAGCAGGCUGGUCCCAAACCUUCGCCCGAGGGAAUGGGGCGAGAUUUUUCGGGCUGGCUCGUUGCGAGGCCCGUCGACCGGCAGCGCAACAGGCGAGAUAACUAAGGCCGACUACGCACGUAGCAUAUUUCGGUAGAACCGGUCUCGGACGCGGGUUCGAUUCCCGCCGCCUCCACCA
rnacentral:tmRNA from 1 species